rnacentral:lncRNA from 1 species
AUGCCUUUAACAAUUAAAUGUGUAAUUAGCAAACACAUGUACAAAUACAUACAGGUACACAUACUGUACAAAUACAUACAGGUACACAUACUGUACAAAUACAUACAGGUACACAUACUGUACAAAUACAUACAGGUACACAUACUGUACAAAUACAUACAGGUACACAUACUGUACAAAUACAUACAGGUACAUAUACUGUACAAAUACAUACAGGUACACAUACUGUACAAAUACAUACAGGUACACAUACUGUACAAAUACAUACAGGUACACAUACUGUACAAAUACAUACAGGUACACAUACUGUACAAAUACAUACAGGUACACAUACUGUACAAAUACAUACAGGUACACAUACUGUACAAAUACAUACAGGUACACAUACUGUACAAAUACAUACAGGUACACAUACUGUACAAAUACAUACAGGUACACAUACUGUACAAAUACAUACAGGUACACAUACUGUACAAAUACAUACAGGUACACAUACUGUACAAAUACAUACAGGUACACAAACUGCUCAAAUACAUACAGGUACACAUACUGUACAAAUACAUACAGGUACACAUACUGUACAAAUACAUACAGGUACACAUACUGUACAAAUACAUACAGGUACACAUACUGUACAAAUACAUACAGGUACACAAACUGCUCAAAUACAUACAGGUACACAUACUGUACAAAUACAUACAGGUACACAUACUGUACAAAUACAUACAGGUACACAUACUGUACAAAUACAUACAGGUACACAAACUGCUCAAAUACAUACAGGUACACAUACUGUACAAAUACAUACAGGUACACAAACUGCUCAAAUACAUACAGGUACACAUACUGUACAAAUACAUACAGGUACACAAACUGCUCAAAUACAUACAGGUACACAUACUGCUCAAAUACAUACAGGUACAAAUACAUACAGGUACACAUACUGCUCAAAUACAUACAGGUACACAUACUGUACAAAUACAUACAGGUACAUAUACUGUACAAAUACAUACAGGUUCAUAUACUGUACAAAUACAUACAGGUUCAUAUACUGUACAAAUACAUACAGGUUCACAUACUGUACAAAUACAUACAGGUACAUAUACUGUACAAAUACAUACAGGUUCAUAUACUGUACAAAUACAUACAGGUUCAUAUACUGUACAAAUACAUACAGGUUCACAUACUGUACAAAUACAUACAGGUACAUAUACAUACAGGUUCAUAUACUGUACAAAUACAUACAGGUUCAUAUACUGUACAAAUACAUACAGGUACACAUACUGUACAAAUACAUACAGGUUCAUAUACUGUACAAAUACAUACAGGUUCAUAUACUGUACAAAUACAUACAGGUACACAUACUGUUCAUCUAUAUAG